rnacentral:rRNA from 1 species
UACGUAGGGAGCAAGCGUUGUCCGGAAUCAUUGGGCGUAAAGCGCGCGUAGGCGGCCUCAUAAGUCCGUUGUGAAAGUCAAAGGCUCAACCUUUGAAAGCCGAUGGAUACUGUGAGGCUAGAGUCCGGAAGAGGCGAGUGGAAUUCCUGGUGUAGCGGUGGAAUGCGCAGAUAUCAGGAGGAACACCGGUGGCGAAGGCGGUUCUCUGGGCCUGACCUGACGCUGAGGAGCGAAAGCGUGGGGAGCGAACAGG